rnacentral:lncRNA from 1 species
CUGGGAGAGAACAUAGGCAGGGUUAGGCAUGGGAGAAUGUGUCUGACUCACAACGAAGGAAUGAAGCAUGCCGGGCCUCAUCUCGGACCUGCACACUGCCCCUCAUUAUGUUCAUGAUCGGGAAAUGGAUAAAGAGUGGCCAGAAGGUGAAAAAGAAGAGAUGGCCCCCUGAAAGGGACAUCCACAUUUAUUUGAGCACCUACCAGCAAAGUGCUGGGCACACAGAAGGACAACGUGAUGAAGCGCCAUCACAUGGCUGGUAGCCUGUGGUGAGUCACCGGACUUCUCGACUCCCACCUCACUAGGGUGGAAGGAACAGUAACCACAACGCUCUGCAACUCGGGCUGCGCCCGCAUGAUUGGAAACAAUCUGUGAAAUUGUGGAGUGAACAACCCCGAAGAAAUAGACUUCUAAUUCUAGCCUUUUGGAGAUUAUUAACCCAACUCCCAGAUUCUACAGAUGAGAAAAGGGAGGCCCAGGGAGGUGGAGAAACAUGUGUAGGAUCACAGAGAUGCCUUCAGCUCUCCAAAACAACAGAAAUGAUCAAAGAUGGAGGCAAGAAGACCAGAGAACCCUAAAUGUUUACUGUCUCCAGUGUGUUUGGAAACAGCUUGGACCAGUGUAGAGUGCUGGAACAGAGAGUCAAGAGCAUCAGGCGCGCCACCCAGAUAGCAUCUGAAAGAUUGUAAACAGGAUGAUUCACAAACUGGUGGCAGCAGCUAAAAGCAGUGCAGUUCGCGACCCUCAGCACACGCCAAGAUUCUAAAUGGGAUGUUGCGACAACAAAGCAGCCUGAAGAUUCUAAAACAUAAUGGUGUCACCAGGACAUUCACAGGGUGCUGUAACCUGUAACUGACAAGCAUACUCAUCAUCAUUUCUCCUUGGGCAUGCUGCAUCCUUGCGCUCCACUGGGCCUCCUGUUGCAUUGCUAUUUAUUUGCAUCUACAAGCAGGGGAGCAAGUAUGCUGCGGAAAUAGCCCCAGAGAGGUGUCUGAUUCCCAUAGGCCCUUGCAGCCAGCUACAACUGAAUGAUUUCCGAUAUCAGUUACUGAAAAUUCUGACCAUGAUAUGCAGACCAUGGCAGAUCUUAAUGACAAUAACAUCAUCUCACAUUUUGAUGGCGUUUAACAGUUUACAAAGUGCUUUCACAUACAUUAUCACAUUUAAUCCCAGUGAGGUCGAUAGUCUUCUUCUCCAUUUUAUUGGCAGCUUGGUGUAGUGGAAAGAGCUGUGGAAUCAGACAGACUUAAGUUCAGAUUCUGCCUCUGACUACCAAACCAUGGACAAUUUGCUUCAUUUCUCUCCCUUUUCUUACCUAUAGGAUGAGGAAUCAUUUCUAUUUCCGAGGUUUGUGGUGAAAAUUAAAUAACAUAUGUAAAGACAUACAAUAUAGGGCCCGAUGCAUAGAAGUACUCGAUAACCAUUAGUUUCUGUCCACUUACAGAGGAAGAAAAUGAAGCUUAAGAGGUUAAGGGAGUUGCUCAAAGUAAUAGCUAGUAAAUGGCAGAACUGAGACUUCAUUUAUUUUACAAAUAUUAUUGAACACCUACUAUAUGCUGGUGCCUUGGGCAUAGGAAAGUGGAUGAGUCAUAAUUCUAGUUUUUGAGAUGUUCACAGUAGAGCGGUGGAAUCUGAAAUGCAAAUAAUCAAUUAUAAUCGAGCGUAAUCUGAGAGGCAAAAAGUACUUAGGGAAUAUCCUAAAGCCAUGGGUGCACCCUAGAGUAUCUACACAAGAGAUAAGUCUGAGGAAGAGGAACCUUCCAGGAGGCAGCAGUAGAGUUACACCUGAAAUAAAAUGUUGGCAGGUGGAUGAGGGUGAGCAAGGAGAGGAGCAUUCAGGCGAAGACAACAGUGUGUGCAUUCAUCAGGAGGGUCAAAGGAGCCUGGCAUGUCCACUGCAGCACAGAAGAGAACCUGAGCAGACAGGAGAGAGAAGGGAGAGGAGGAGGCAAGGAAGCAGGAGUGAGAAGAAUGAAGGGGCUUGCAGGUAAUGCUGAGAAGCGUGCAUCUUUGUCAGUCCACACUGGCACAAACUCUGUGAUGAUUUACAGAGAGAGCCAACCUGGUCAGAUUUGCAUUUUUGAAAUUGUGGCAGCAAUGUGAAAGAUUGACUAGAGGAGGGGAUAAUGGAGGCAGUAGUUCAAUGAGAGAUAAUUAGGCUAUGAACUAAGAAAGUGGCAGAGCAGACAAUUUCAAGCGGUAUAGCAGAGGCAGAAUUGACAGGAUGUGGCCAUUAACUGGAUGUCAAGACAGGAGAGACAGAGAGAACUCUAGGAGGACUCCCAGGCUAUGAGCUUUGGUGGCUGGGCGAACGAAGAUGUCCCCCACUGACGUAGAAGGAGAGGACAUUUGAAGAGAUGAUAAUAAAUUCAUGUGGACAUGUUGACUCUGAGAGACUCAUGGAUAUCAAGAAGGAGGUGUUCAGUAGACAGCUAAAAAUAUGAGUCUGGAGUUUGGGAGAGGACUCACAAUUAGAUGCAUUGAUCUAGGGAUCAAUGGUUUUUAGACAAUGGUUGAAGCUGUUUUUUUAUGCCAAGAGGAUAGAGCAAGAAGAAAAGUGGGUCCUGGAGAACUCUAGGGAAUAUCAAUGUUUAGGUGCUAGAAUGAGGAUUGUUGGAGAGAUGGAACUACCAGGAGAAAGGGAGAGCUCAGAGGCCAGGGAAGGCAAGCAUUUUUUGAUGAUGAAAGUAGAGGAAAGUAUCAAAUUCCACCAAAGGAUCAAAGAAGAUGAGAACUGAGAUAUGCCUGGCAUUUGGGCAAUGAUAAGAUCACUUUGGCAACUUCAGUUUUAGACAAAGUGGUUAAAAAAGAGGCU